AUCUCUGUCUACUUGAGGACUUUACAGGCUUUCUGAAGAUGGUGCCAGAGGGGAGUCUGCAAGAUGGUGUCUGGUGUGGAAGUGCAUAUGAAGCAAAGGAGUAGAAAUGUGUUCCUUCGUGAGAUCCUUGUGCUGACUGGACAGUAUGAGAAACUGAAAAACUGAAACAUCCUUGACUUUGUACAGCAUUGCUCAGCAACAACUGAAACACUGUGCUAUCAACAUUGAUGUUCUUCUGAAGUCUAAACAUGGCAUAUCAGCCACUGUGAAGAAAAUCAGCUUUGUCUGGGCUAAAACCAGGACAGUAGUCUAAUAGUCCAAGUCACUAGUGUUUAAGAGAACUAGUGGAACUCUGGGAGACACAGUAGGUACUGCAGCUGACUGAUUUCAUUUGGGAAUUCUAAAACAGGUGGAGUACUAUAAGGGAAGACGAAAGGAAUCCUUCUCUCAGGAGCUGCAUGCAGAAGCUAGAAGAGGGAGCCAGCAGAGAGGCAGUCAUACUCUGUAAGGUUCUCCAGUGGGAUCCAGGCUGCACAGCUACUGAGAAGAGGCACAAAGAAAAGAACAACCAAAAUGGUUGUUGUUUUUUUGUUUGUUUGUUUGUUUUAAAAUUUUAUUUAGUUCUCUUGGACCAGAGGAGGUUCUAUCACAGAAAUCCAUUGCGAGUUUCUGGGCUGAGAACAAAAUGGAUCUAUUAACUAUGUGGGAUGAGCAGGAAUUGGUUAUUUCUUCUCUACACUGCAGAGCAGCAUAUUUCUAUUUAAAAUGUCGUAUUUUUCUAAUUUGAGUUAAAAAAAAAAAAAAAAAAGCCUUUGAAAUUUGGAUGGGAGAUGAGUUGUUGUGUUAUAUUUAGAUCUAACAUUCAGGAAACUCAUCUCAAAGUUCUGGCUUAAUUAGAGUCCAGUUAUAUGGUCCAAAGCAAUUUAGAAACUACAGAUAGGGAUUUGCUGAGAGACACCAGCCUAGAGAGUACUGAAUACUGCACUUGCUGCAUACUAGCAUUUAUGAAACCUACUGUUGUCUAAAUUAUCUUUCCUUUCAGUUGACUUGGGUUUCAUCCAUAGCACUACUAUUUAGUGGCAACUAACCAUUCAAAUUCCACUAGCACUAAACAAUGAAUGACUAUCCUUUGGUGUUGGCAUAUCAUUUAGUUCAGCCUUGUAAGUAAAUUCCAACAUACUACGGGUGUUUGGAACCAAGUAGUUUUCUUCUUUGUAGUCUUGAUUUUUGGCAAGGAUGGGACUAGAAGUGGGGAACAACAUGUCUUUUGUGAUUAGCAAUGACUUAACGAAGAAGAAUAAUUUCUAGCAGGAGGAUUUUGGAAAUGACAGAAGACUGUGCUUGUGCAUGGAUUGAAUGCUGACUUGCAAUUACAGCAAAUCAUUCUCACAGCAGGGAGUUGGUUUUGUUUAGGAGACCUUUUCUUUGAUUAGCCAGCAUGUAAAUGAAAUGUAGUAACAGUCAGAAAAAGGGAGACUUGGGGCACGGAGGAGAGAGAUAUGAUAGAGAAAAGCAGCUGUAAGCAGAACAAUCAAGCUUCACUGAAGGAAUGAUCCUUAGGAAACUAGAAACUUCUGGUCUCACUUAAGAUUUCAAAACAGGAGAAGCAAAAACUGAAUCAGUAUGCAGAACUAACCACUGAAAAUGAAGAUGGAUGAAAAAACCAACAGAUUAUUGUUACCAGGAAUAAUACCGAUGUUGUGGAAAAGGUUGA